GAACCGUCUACUUACAUAGUUUAACUUACGAAGAUUAAAAGAUAAAAGUAUCGUUUCGUAGGCUUAGCGAUCCGUAUUUUCACAUAAACGUCAAGUUAACUAAGCCAUCAUACGAAACUUACGGUAAACUUAACGUCAACAUAGUGGCAAGAAUGAAAUCGUAUACAGGAUGUUCCAGUAACCGAAUAAAUCGAAAAUGUAGAAUAAAAUUUGUUCAUAUGGCACUACGUAUUUAAUAAAAUCGAAUUUAAAGAUUUAUUUGACGCACAUGUAAUUAGCUAAAUAUCAAGCGG
rnacentral:misc_RNA from 1 species